rnacentral:lncRNA from 1 species
UCUUCCUCCACCCUCUCACUCCUUCUCUCUUUUCUGCAAACACUAGAGUCCAGAGAUAGCUCCAAGCCUGCCUCUGCUGUGUUGAGCCGUGUUGUCUUGUCCCCAGGAGGAGAGAGUGGUGACCCAGGUGGCUGAGAGGGCACAGAUCCAGCUAGUGGUGGCAAAAAUAGGCACAGCUCCCCUGUGUCCAACACUGUCCUGCCCUGGCAGUCCUGCCUACAUGACUCUUCCCUCCGAGUUCUGGCCAGGCUGCAGGCAUCAGACCCUCUGGUAGCCAUGAAGGGUGGAAAGAGGAGUCUCUGAAGAAAAAGCUCCAAGAGAAGAGGGAGGGCAGGAAGGUGGAAAUGGCCUAGAAUCCUCAACCUGCCAGAACAACCCUUGGCUCGGGAGUGCCCAAAGUGUUUGCUAAAAAUGCAAAUCCCCAGGUGGCAAGGUUCCUUCUAGAGAUGGCUACUUGGGUGCUGCUGUGGAAGCAGGAGACAAUUUAGCCCUGUGCAUUGUGGAACCUGAGAAGCUCCCCCUGGAGAUGACUGCUCAGGUGCAGCUGGGAUCUGGACUUACACACAGAAAAGAAUUGUAGGACUCGUCAGUGUGAAGCAGAGCUGAAGUUCGUGGGACAGAUUCCAGUGUGGGCAUUCACAGAUGCACUUAAAUGCCUUGCCAGAAGUCAUCAUGCAGCAUGGCUCUUGCCAAGGAGAUGUCAGCUGGAGGCUGGAAAGCUUUUUAAAGGGAGCAGAUUAAAUUGCCGUGGCCGAUCCACAGCUCCUUUCCUCCCUUCCCUUGUCUGGAACGGGGAUGUGAUGUCUGGAGCUUCAGCAGCCAUACCACACCAUGGGUCCAAUUUGAGAUUGGCAGUAGUUGGCUCGGGUGAUGGAACAGAGGGAGGGAGCCUGUGUCUCUUCUCCCAGGCUGCACUGUGGGGAUGCCCUACCAACCCUGGACUACCUGCCUCUGGAAUCCUGGUUGGCAAAGAGAUAAAUAAAUAAGCCCCUUAACUUUCCUGUGUCACAUUGUCAAUCGUCUUCCUGAUGAGCAAGAACCCCGGUUAGAACUGAGUAAGACUGGGAAGUGCCGUGGAGCCGGAGGGCUCCAGGGGAACCAACAGGGCAGCAGUAAGGAGCUUGCUGUCUCUCCCAUCCCCACCCCCAUUUCCACUCACUCUGCUUUAAUGUGUUGUACUGAAGAGAGGUGACCUAGUUAGGUUUGUCUCAAGAGCAGAUUCUAAGCAAAUAAAUAAAUAAAUACAAAGUUUA